GCCAGGUGUGGUGGCGUGUGCCUGUAAUCCCAGCUACUUGGGGGGCUGAGGUAGGAGGAUUGCUUGAAUCCAGGAGGUUGAGGCUGCAGUGAGCCAACAUCGCCCCACUGCACUCCAGCCUGGGUAACAGAGUGAGACCCUGUCUCAA
rnacentral:sRNA from 1 species